rnacentral:tRNA from 1 species
CCGUCGAUAGCUCAGUUGGCAGAGCGGUGGACUGUAGGUGGUAAUGCAGUGAUCCGUAGGUCGCUGGUUCGACUCCGGCUCGACGGA